rnacentral:rRNA from 1 species
CUUUGGGGUGUGACUGCGUACCUUUUGUAUAAUGGGUCAGCGACUUAUAUUCUGUAGCAAGGUUAACCGUAUAGGGGAGCCGCAGGGAAACCGAGUCUUAAUUGGGCGUUAAGUUGCAGGGUAUAGACCCGAAACCCGGUGAUCUAGCCAUGGGCAGGUUGAAGGUUGGGUAACACUAACUGGAGGACCGAACCGACUAAUGUUGAAAAAUUAGCGGAUGACCUGUGGCUGGGGGUGAAAGGCCAAUCAAACCGGGAGAUAGCUGGUUCUCCCCGAAAGCUAUUUAGGUAGCGCCUCGUGAAUUCAUCUCCGGGGGUAGAGCACUGUUUCGGCUAGGGGGCCAUCCCGGCUUACCAACCCGAUGCAAACUGCGAAUACCGGAGAAUGUUAUCACGGGAGACACACGGCGGGUGCUAACGUCCGUCGUGAAGAGGGAAACAACCCAGACCGCCAGCUAAGGUCCCAAAGUCAUGGUUAAGUGGGAAACGAUGUGGGAAGGCCCAGACAGCCAGGAUGUUGGCUUAGAAGCAGCCAUCAUUUAAAGAAAGCGUAAUAGCUCACUGGUCGAGUCGGCCUGCGCGGAAGAUGUAACGGGGCUAAACCAUGCACCGAAGCUGCGGCAGCGACGCUGAUGCGUUGUUGGGUAGGGGAGCGUUCUGUAAGCCUGUGAAGGUGGCCUGUGAGGGUUGCUGGAGGUAUCAGAAGUGCGAAUGCUGACAUAAGUAACGAUAAAGCGGGUGAAAAGCCCGCUCGCCGGAAGACCAAGGGUUCCUGUCCAACGUUAAUCGGGGCAGGGUGAGUCGACCCCUAAGGCGAGGCCGAAAGGCGUAGUCGAUGGGAAACGGGUUAAUAUUCCCGUACUUGGUGUUACUGCGAAGGGGGGACGGAGAAGGCUAUGUUGGCCGGGCGACGGUUGUCCCGGUUUAAGCGUGUAGGUGUGUGUUCCAGGUAAAUCCGGUUCACUUUAACACUGAGGCGUGACGACGAGGCACUACGGUGCUGAAGCAACAAAUGCCCUGCUUCCAGGAAAAGCCUCUAAGCAUCAGGUAACAUCAAAUCGUACCCCAAACCGACACAGGUGGUCAGGUAGAGAAUACCAAGGCGCUUGAGAGAACUCGGGUGAAGGAACUAGGCAAAAUGGUGCCGUAACUUCGGGAGAAGGCACGCUGACACGUAGGUGAAGUGAUUUACUCACGGAGCUGAAGUCAGUCGAAGAUACCAGCUGGCUGCAACUGUUUAUUAAAAACACAGCACUGUGCAAACACGAAAGUGGACGUAUACGGUGUGACGCCUGCCCGGUGCCGGAAGGUUAAUUGAUGGGGUCAGCGCAAGCGAAGCUCCUGAUCGAAGCCCCGGUAAACGGCGGCCGUAACUAUAACGGUCCUAAGGUAGCGAAAUUCCUUGUCGGGUAAGUUCCGACCUGCACGAAUGGCGUAAUGAUGGCCAGGCUGUCUCCACCCGAGACUCAGUGAAAUUGAACUCGCUGUGAAGAUGCAGUGUACCCGCGGCAAGACGGAAAGACCCCGUGAACCUUUACUAUAGCUUGACACUGAACAUUGAGCCUUGAUGUGUAGGAUAGGUGGGAGGCUUUGAAGUGUGGACGCCAGUCUGCAUGGAGCCGACCUUGAAAUACCACCCUUUAAUGUUUGAUGUUCUAACGUGGACCCGUGAUCCGGGUUGCGGACAGUGUCUGGUGGGUAGUUUGACUGGGGCGGUCUCCUCCUAAAGAGUAACGGAGGAGCACGAAGGUUGGCUAAUCCUGGUCGGACAUCAGGAGGUUAGUGCAAUGGCAUAAGCCAGCUUGACUGCGAGCGUGACGGCGCGAGCAGGUGCGAAAGCAGGUCAUAGUGAUCCGGUGGUUCUGAAUGGAAGGGCCAUCGCUCAACGGAUAAAAGGUACUCCGGGGAUAACAGGCUGAUACCGCCCAAGAGUUCAUAUCGACGGCGGUGUUUGGCACCUCGAUGUCGGCUCAUCACAUCCUGGGGCUGAAGUAGGUCCCAAGGGUAUGGCUGUUCGCCAUUUAAAGUGGUACGCGAGCUGGGUUUAGAACGUCGUGAGACAGUUCGGUCCCUAUCUGCCGUGGGCGCUGGAGAACUGAGGGGGGCUGCUCCUAGUACGAGAGGACCGGAGUGGACGCAUCACUGGUGUUCGGGUUGUCAUGCCAAUGGCACUGCCCGGUAGCUAAAUGCGGAAGAGAUAAGUGCUGAAAGCAUCUAAGCACGAAACUUGCCCCGA